UACGUAGGGGGCAAGCGUUGUCCGGAAUCAUUGGGCGUAAAGAGCGCGUAGGCGGCCCUGUAAGUCCGCUGUGAAAGUCAAGGGCUCAACCCUUGAAUGCCGGUGGAUACUGCAGGGCUAGAGUCCGGAAGAGGAGAGUGGAAUUCCUGGUGUAGCGGUGAAAUGCGCAGAUAUCAGGAAGAACACCUAUGGCGAAGGCAGCUCUCUGGGACGGUACUGACGCUGAGACGCGAAAGCGUGGGGAGCGAACAGG
rnacentral:rRNA from 1 species